UACGUAGGGGGCUAGCGUUGUCCGGAAUCAUUGGGCGUAAAGAGCGCGUAGGCGGCCAGAUAAGUCCGGUGUGAAAGUCACAGGCUCAACCUGUGAAUGCCGCUGGAAACUGUCUGGCUAGAGUCCGGAAGGGGCGAGUGGAAUUCCUGGUGUAGCGGUGAAAUGCGCAGAUAUCAGGAGGAACACCAAUGGCGAAGGCAGCUCGCUGGAACGGUACUGACGCUGUGGCGCGAAAGCUAGGGUAGCAAACGGG
rnacentral:rRNA from 1 species